rnacentral:misc_RNA from 1 species
UCUCCGUUGGUGAACCAGCGGAGGGAUCAUUACCGAGUUUACAAACUCCCAAACCCUUUGUGAACCUUACCAUAUUGUUGCUUCGGCGGGACCGCCCCGGCGCCUUCGGGCCCGGAACCAGGCGCCCGCCGGAGGCCCCAAACUCUUGAUACCAUGUGGCCUCUCUGAGUAUUCUGUACUGAAUAAGUCAAAACUUUCAACAACGGAUCUCUUGGUUCUG